rnacentral:misc_RNA from 1 species
AAGUCGUAACAAGGUUUCCGUAGGUGAACCUGCGGAAGGAUCAUUAAAGAAUUCGGCUUCGCGGCCAAGUUCUCACCCUUGUAUAUCGCAACAAUGUCGCUUGGCUGGCCCUUGGCAGUUCCCUCGGUUCCUGGCCGCAGGUGUAACCACUAGAAUCUCUGCUGUCUGAGUACUAUGCAAUAGUUAAAA